UACAGAGGGUGCGAGCGUUGUUCGGAAUUAUUGGGCGUAAAGCGCUUGUAGGCGGCACGUCAAGUCGCGUGUGAAAUCCCCAGGCUUAACCUGGGAAGUGCGCGCGAAACUGACGAGCUUGAGUGCCGGAGAGGGUCGCGGAAUUCCCGGUGUAGAGGUGAAAUUCGUAGAUAUCGGGAGGAACACCAGUGGCGAAGGCGGCGACCUGGACGGACACUGACGCUGCGACGCGAAAGCGUGGGGAGCAAACAGG
rnacentral:rRNA from 1 species